rnacentral:rRNA from 2 species
UACGUAGGGGGCGAGCGUUGUCCGGAAUUACUGGGCGUAAAGGGUACGCAGGCGGUUUCAUAAGUCAGGUGUAAAAGGCAUUGGCUCAACCAAUGUAAGCAUUUGAAACUGUGAGGCUUGAGUAUAGGAGAGGUAAGUGGAAUUCCUAGUGUAGCGGUGAAAUGCGUAGAUAUUAGGAGGAACACCAGUGGCGAAGGCGACUUACUGGACUAUAACUGACGCUGAGGUACGAAAGCGUGGGGAGCAAACA